GAUCAUGGCUCAGGAUGAACGCUGGCGGCGUGCCUAAUACAUGCAAGUCGAACGCAUUACUUCGGUAGUGAGUGGCGAACGGGUGAGUAACACGUAGGUAACUUACCUCUAAGACGAGGAUAACGACUGGAAACGGUCGCUAAAACUGGAUAGGAUCAUUUGAGGCAUCUCGAAUGAUUUAAAGGGGCUUUCAAGCCACACUUAGAGAAAGGCCUGCGGCGCAUUAGCUAGUUGGUGGGGUAGAGGCCUACCAAGGCGAUGAUGCGUAGCCGGACUGAGAGGUCGAACGGCCACAUUGGGACUGAGACACGGCCCAAACUCCUACGGGAGGCAGCAGUAGGGAAUUUUCGGCAAUGGGGGAAACCCUGACCGAGCAACGCCGCGUGAAUGAAAGAAGGUUUUCGGAUCGUAAAACUCUGUUGUCAGAGAAGAACAAGUUGGAGAGUAACUGCUCCAGCCUUGACGGUAUCUGACCAGAAAGCCACGGCUAACUACGUGCCAGCCGCCGC
rnacentral:rRNA from 1 species